AAUGAACGUUGGCGGCGUGCCUAACACAUGCAAGUCGAGCGAGAAAGUUCCUUCGGGAAUGAGUACAGCGGUGGACGGGUGAGUAACACGUAAGAAUCUGCCCUAUAGUGAGGAAUACCCUCGAGAAAUUGAGGUUAAUACUGCAUAAGUCCCUGCGGGGAGAAAAGCGUCUUUUAUGUCGCUGCUAUAGGAUGAGCUUGCGGACUAUCAGCUUGUUGGUGAGGUAAAGGCUCACCAAGGCUAUGACGGUUAACCGGCCUGAGAGGGUGUACGGUCACAUAGGCACUGAGAUACGGGCCUGACUCCUACGGGAGGCAGCAGUGGGGAAUAUUGCGCAAUGGGCGAAAGCCUGACGCAGCGACGCCGCGUGGAGGAUGAAGGUCUUAGGAUUGUAAACUCCUGUCAGAUGGGAAGAAAAUAUCAUAUUUAAUAGAUAUGAGGAAUGACGGUACCAUCAGAGGAAGCACCGGCUAACUUCGUGCCAGCAGCCGCGGUAAUACGAAGGGUGCAAACGUUAUUCGGAAUCACUGGGCGUAAAGGGUGCGUAGACGGUAUGUUAAGUUCGUCGUUAAAGACUCCGGCCUAACCGGAGCACCGCGAUGAAAACUGGCGUACUAGAGGGUGAGAGAGAGAAGUGGAAUUCCUGGAGUAGCGGUAAAAUGCGUGGAUCUCAGGAGGAACACCAAUGGCGAAGGCAGCUUCUUGGCUCAUUCCUGACGUUG
rnacentral:rRNA from 1 species